ACGGAAAACAUGUCUAGCUUGCUAGAUGAUGUCGAGUGGCGGACGGGUGAGUAAUGCCUGGGAAUUUGCCUUAGUGUGGGGGAUAACUAUUGGAAACGAUAGCUAAUACCGCAUAAUACCUACGGGUCAAAGGGGGCUUCGGCUCCCGCGCUAAGAGAAGCCCAGGUGAGAUUAGCUAGUUGGUGAGGUAAAGGCUCACCAAGGCGACGAUCUCUAGCUGUUCUGAGAGGAAGAUCAGCCACACUGGAACUGAGACACGGUCCAGACUCCUACGGGAGGCAGCAGUGGGGAAUAUUGCACAAUGGGGGAAACCCUGAUGCAGCCAUGCCGCGUGUGUGAAGAAGGCCUUCGGGUUGUAAAGCACUUUCAGUUGUGAGGAAAGGUUGAUGGUUAAUACCCAUCAGCUGUGACGUUAGCAACAGAAGAAGCACCGGCUAACUCCGUGCCAGCAGCCGCGGUAAUACGGAGGGUGCAAGCGUUAAUCGGAAUUACUGGGCGUAAAGCGCACGCAGGCGGUCUGUUAAGCUAGAUGUGAAAGCCCCGCGCUCAACGUGGGAUGGUCAUUUAGAACUGGCAGACUAGAGUUUUGGAGAGGAGAGUGGAAUUUCUGGUGUAGCGGUGAAAUGCGUAGAUAUCAGAAGGAACAUCAGUGGCGAAGGCGACUCUCUGGUCAAUAACUGACGCUCAUGUGCGAAAGUGUU
rnacentral:rRNA from 1 species